rnacentral:rRNA from 1 species
AUACGUAGGUGACAAGCGUUAUCCGGAUUUACUGGGCGUAAAGGGCGUGUAGGCGGUCUUGCAAGUCAGAAGUGAAAUUCCUGAGCUCAACUCGGGCGCUGCUUCUGAAACUGCAGGACUUGAGUGCUGGAGGGGAUAGCGGAAUUCCUAGUGGAGCGGUAAAAUGCGCAGAUAUUAGGAAGAACACCGGUGGCGAAGGCGGCUAGCUGGACAGUAACUGACGCUGAUGCGCGAAAGCGUGGGGAGCGAACAGGAUUAGAUACCCUGGUAGUCCGCACUGUAAACGAUGAAUGCUAGGUGUAGGGGGUAUCGACCCCUUCUGUGCCGCAGUCAACACAAUAAGCAUUCCGCCUGGGGAGUACGGCCGCAAGGUUGAAACUCAAAGGAAUUGACGGGG